AUUGAACGCUGGCGGCAUGCCUUACACAUGCAAGUCGAACGGUAACAGGUCUUCGGAUGCUGACGAGUGGCGAACGGGUGAGUAAUACAUCGGAACGUGCCCAGACGUGGGGGAUAACGAGGCGAAAGCUUUGCUAAUACCGCAUACGAUCUAAGGAUGAAAGCAGGGGACCGCAAGGCCUUGCGCGUUUGGAGCGGCCGAUGGCAGAUUAGGUAGUUGGUGGGAUAAAAGCUUACCAAGCCGACGAGCUGUAGCUGGUCUGAGAGGACGACCAGCCACACUGGGACUGAGACACGGCCCAGACUCCUACGGGAGGCAGCAGUGGGGAAUGUUGGACAAUGGGCGAAAGCCUGAUCCAGCAAUGCCGCGUGCAGGAUGAAGGCCUUCGGGUUGUAAACUGCUUUUGUACGGAACGAAAAGGCUCUGGCUAAUACCUGGGGCACAUGACGGUACCGUAAGAAUAAGCACCGGCUAACUACGUG
rnacentral:rRNA from 1 species